GCCCACCUCUGUUAGAAUCUUUCUGUGAAGUGAGUUGUAUGCUUCUUUGGGUUCGAGUGCUCGAGUAGCUGGCGUAACAGGUGAUUGUGUCUCCGUCACUCCAGUCAGGUUUACACAGACGCAGCUCACUGUUCGUGGCAUUAGAUGUGAAUGGAUGAAGUGACCCAUGACCGUCUCUGCUCCAGGUGAAGUUCACCAGCUCAGACGUCAGACCCUCCAUAGAGCAGAGCAGAUGGAUACAGCUGUCAUUACUGCUGUUCAGUGUCUGCAGAUGUGGACGAGCUGCAGUGGAGGGAGAUGAUAUGAUG